rnacentral:lncRNA from 10 species
AUCUAUAGGAAAAAAGUAAUCCUCUUGGAAAGCUGGAAACAUAGUCCGAUUUUUUAUAGUGUGUGGUUUAUAGAAAGACUCCAGGAAUAUUCUGUGCUGUGGUGGAAAUAUUGGAAUAAUCAGCCUCAUAAGAAGCUUAAGUGAAAAUGAUACAUGUUAGAAGACAUGAAACAAGGAGAAAUUCUAAGAGUCACGUGCCUGAGCAGAAAUCUCGAGUUGAUUGGAGGCGAACUAAA